UACGUAGGGUGCGAGCGUUAAUCGGAAUUACUGGGCGUAAAGCGUGCGCAGGCGGUUCGUCGUGUCUGAUGUGAAAGCCCCGGGCUCAACCUGGGAAUGGCAUUGGAAACUGGCGGACUAGAGUGUGGCAGAGGGGGGUGGAAUGCCACGUGUAGCAGUGAAAUGCGUAGAUAUGUGGCGGAACACCGAUGGCGAAGGCAGCCCCCUGGGCUGAGAUUGACGCUCAGGCACGAAAGCGUGGGGAGCAAACAGG
rnacentral:rRNA from 1 species